rnacentral:tRNA from 1 species
GGGUAGAGCUCAGUGGUACAGCGUGUGCUUAGCAUGCACAAAGUCCUGGGUUCAAUCCCCAGUACUUCCA